UUAAAUAAUAGAAGUCUGUUUUCUCACAAUCCUGGAGGCCAGAAGUCCAAGGUCAAGUUACAUGGCCUUGCCUGGGACGGAUCUUCAGUAACCCCAGAGCGGAGUUGGCCCCCGAGAAGGGCUAGAAGGAGGGGUGGAGGAGGAGCGUCUUUCACUCUAUCUGCAACUUAAGGGAGAAGCCUGAAGCCAAUGUGGCAAAGCGUCCACAUCUUUUGCCCCUUGAGACAGGUGACCCCAUCACCAGCCUCAUGGCCAACACCAGCUGCAUUGCAUCUGGACAUGAGGACUCCCGCCUCUGCCUUGCUGACAGAGUCAAUCCAUCCCUGCAGAGUGUCUGCUGAAUGAAUACUAAUAUUCGUCCCCUCUGAGCUCACCAUCUAGUGAGACAAAGAGACACACAACCAGAAACACUUGCUGCUCUGUUCCUCCAUUCAGAGAACAUCUAGGGUGGCCCAGCCUUGGAGGGCCGAUGUCUCAGCUCUGAUAGCUCAGAACUCCAAUACCGGAAGAGUCCUAAGACCUUGGGAGAAUGUCCUGUAAGGUAAGCAUCUCAGAAACAUAAAAAGACUCCUGGACUAAAGAAACCCUUGGGGGAAGGAGGAGAA